GCAGUGGCUCAGUAGCAGAGCUUCUGUCUUGCUUGCAGAAGGUCAUAGGUUCAAUCUCUAUCAUCUCCA
rnacentral:tRNA from 1 species